ACGGGUGAGUAACACGUGAAUGACAUGCCCUUUAGAGGGGGAUAGCCCAGGGAAACUUGGAUUAAUACCCCAUGGUCUCGCAAGAGUAAAGGUGGCCGCAAGGCUGUCGCUAAAGGAUUGGUUCGCGUCCUAUCAGCUAGUUGGCGGGGUAACGGCCCACCAAGGCGACGACGGGUACCUGGUCUGAGAGGACGAUCAGGCACACUGGAACUGAGACACGGUCCAGACACCUACGGGUGGCAGCAGUCGAGAAUAAUUCACAAUGGGGGCAACCCUGAUGGUGCAACGCCGCGUGGAGGAUGAAGGUCUUCGGAUUGUAAACUCCUGUCAUCCGGGAGUAAGACCUGGCGAUGAAUAGUCGACAGGGUUGAUAGUACCGGAAGAGGAAGGGACGGCUAACUUCGUGCCAGCAGCCGCGGUAAUACGAAGGUCCCGAGCGUUGUUCGGAAUCACUGGGCGUAAAGGGAGCGUAGGCGGCGUGGUAAGUCAGACGUGAAAUCCCGGGGCUCAACCCCGGAACUGCGUCCGAUACUGCCGUGCUUAGAGGGUUGGAGAGGUAGCUGGAAUUCUUGGUGUA
rnacentral:rRNA from 1 species